rnacentral:rRNA from 1 species
UACAGAGGGGGCAAGCGUUGUUCGGAAUUACUGGGCGUAAAGGGCGCGUAGGCGGAUUGCUAAGUCAGGGGUGAAAUCCUGGAGCUCAACUCCAGAACUGCCCUUGAUACUGGCGGUCUCGAGUCCGGGAGAGGUGAGUGGAACUGCGAGUGUAGAGGUGAAAUUCGUAGAUAUUCGCAAGAACACCAGUGGCGAAGGCGGCUCACUGGCCCGGUACUGACGCUGAGGUGCGAAAGCGUGGGGAGCAAACAGG